AUGUUAGAACAACCUGUUAACAUUUUGUGUUGGAAUGUGAGGGGUCUAAAUUGUUUGGAUCGUCGAACUACUGUGCAUGAGACCAUUGCGGCUUCAUCCUGUCAGAUUGUGUGCCUGCAAGAAUCCAAGUUAGACAACGUCGACAAGUUUACUGCUGCAUAUCUGGGAGGUUUUCGCCUUCAUAGCUUUGCCCAGUUACCGGCUGUGGGCACCCGUGGAGGCAUUCUAAUGCUCUGGGAUGAUUCCAUCAUUGGCAUCAAUGACAUUGUGGCGCUGGAAUUCUGCCUCUCCGCCUCGGUUACCCUGCGUGAAUCCAGCACCACCUUCAAGAUCACUACCGUCUAUGGUCCUUCUACCGCAUCGAGAAAAGAUGUUUUCCUUGCCGAGUUGAUCACCCAAAAGCCUGUUUGUGGAUCCAAGUGGCUGGUUCUAGGUGAUUUCAACCAAAUUUAUAGGGCCCGUGACAAGAAUAAGCGCAACAUUAAUAGAAGCCGCAUCACUCGUUUCCGCAACGCCCUUCAAUCCUGUGACCUCAAAGAGAUUCACCUCCAAAAUCGUCGUUUCACUUGGAGUAAUGAAAGGAUAAAUCCUACCUUAUGCAAGCUUGACUCCUUUUUCUGCAACGCCGAAUGGGACAUCCAUUUCAACACCCAUGUCCUUCAUGCUUUAUCUUCGUCACUCUUGGACCAUUGCCCACUCUUGCUUGCCAAUGAUUGUGGCCCUAGAAGGCCUCGGAGCUUCAAAUUCGAGAAUUUUUGGCCUUCCCUACCACGGUUCAAUGAGAUUGUGCAUAAGGCUUGGAACGAGCAUUCGGUGCACACCGAGCCUUACCAAGUGUUAUUCCAUAAGCUCAAAAAGACCGGUGUCCGACUCUCUGAAUGGAGUAGAAGCCUCUUCUCCAAAUCCAAACUCCAUCUUCAUGCUGCGCUUAGGAUAAUUCUUGAGCUUGAUGUGGCUCAAGAAUCCCGCACCUUAAGCCAUGCCGAGCAUGAUCUCCGAGCUCGGCUCAGAAAGGUGGUAAGUCUGGCGGUCCUUGAGCGUUCAAGAAAGAAGCAAUGUGCCCGUAUUGCCAAUUUGCGGGAGGGUGACGCCAACACCAAAUACUUCCAUAGGCGCAUCAAUGCUAGAAGGCGAAAAAACCAUAUUCUCUGA
rnacentral:rRNA from 1 species